UUUGAUGGCGACCGGCACACGGGUGAGUAACACGUAUCCAACCUGCCGAUGACUCGGGGAUAGCCUUUCGAAAGAAAGAUUAAUACCCGAUGGCAUAGUUCUUCCGCAUGGUGGAACUAUUAAAGAAUUUCGGUCAUCGAUGGGGAUGCGUUCCAUUAGGUUGUUGGCGGGUAACGGCCCACCAAGCCUUCGAUGGAUAGGGGUUCUGAGAGGAAGGUCCCCCACAUUGGAACUGAGACACGGUCCAAACUCCUACGGGAGGCAGCAUG
rnacentral:rRNA from 1 species